rnacentral:piRNA from 1 species
CAGAAUGCCAGAGACUAGGUACUCAAU